rfam:Otolemur garnettii contig010384, whole genome shotgun sequence.
AAACGUAUUACACCUGGGAUUUAGGUGCUUUAAUCUGAAAAAGUACAUAUUCCCUCAGCAUUCUAGAGGAUUUGAGACUAUCCUUCCCUGAACUAAAGCUAGAAUCUUUCAGGAUUGGAGAAUUAAG